CCAGUUACCAAGUUACUCUGUUCUCUGACCCUUGCCCUAUUUCUAUCCAGGUUUGUAGUUCAGAGAGCUGAUGCUGAGGAUGACAGUUUCCAAGGUGUUUCUAAGAGAAGUCUAAUUGCUGUUCCUGGGCUCAACAGGAGAGAAGCCUUCUGCAGAAGUGUGAGCAGAGAAUCGAGGAGGGCUUGCUUUGUGUGGAGAAGAUUGAAAACUACUGAGAGAGGAUGCUGCAUUUCAUCAAAGGACAACCAUAUGCUGAAGCCCAUUUACUGAGGCCCAGACAACAUCGCUUCUUCAGUGGGAAGCUGAUAAUUCUUAGUGGUAAGUAUCUCUGCAGUUAUGAGGAAAGGAUGGAUUAUUUUUCAGGGAGCCACAAGGGCAGUCUUUGCCUGUCUGGACAGCACUUAUUAUCUCUAAGGGUAAUUGGUGGUUUAUUUUUGCUCAUAGUCAAGCAAGAACCUGCAUUAGCAAACCAGCUGCACAUCUGCUGUUGUAAUGGUACCUGA
rnacentral:lncRNA from 14 species